CACGUAGGGUGCGAGCGUUGUCCGGAAUUAUUGGGCGUAAAGAGCUCGUAGGCGGUGUGUCGCGUCGGCCGUGAAAACCUGUGGCUUAACUGCGGGCUUGCGGUCGAUACGGGCAUCACUGGAGUUCGGCAGGGGAGACUGGAAUUCCUGGUGUAGCGGUGAAAUGCGCAGAUAUCAGGAGGAACUCCGGUGGCGAAGGCGGGUCUCUGGGCAGUAACUGACGCUGAGGAGCGAAAGCGUGGGGAGCGAACAGG
rnacentral:rRNA from 1 species